CGAUUUUCGUCGACGCAAGCAGUUUGACAGUUCUCUUCAGUUGGACUCGUUUGAACUUGAUUGCUGUUGAGCUUCGCAAGGAUUUUGGCCGGUUGAUAGGUUUCCUGAUUUCGGUCAUCGUGGUGGUGGAGGCGAAGGAGGAUGGGAAAUAGAGAUAACCCGGCGGCCAUGCCGGAAGACGGGAUAGGAAGGAACCGGUCUGCGGUCGAGGAAGCGGAUGUUUUAUUUUCCACGGGAGGUUGCGGUGCAUUCCCAAAGGAGAAAAAGGAUUAAAUACCAAGUUCCGGCCAAGGGAACAUAAAGAAGGAAACGGAACUUCCAAAUCCUAGGGAGUUGUUCACUGUUCUGGAUGAAUGAAAAGGCGGAGGAGGACGGAAUAAUACACUCCUGGCGGCGUUUCUGAUUCGCCAGAAGUUGUUAUCAAUGACAUUCGAAAAUAUUCCAAUCUGAUCCUGCCGAAAGUCUUGCAAAGUGCGUAAACCAACGUUAUCCGUUACUUCAGUGGCCAUCAGUCCAUCGGACAUAAAACAGUGGGGCAGCACCAGGACAGUUUCCAAGUCCAACUUUGAUCAGCAUCUGCGGCAGCAACGAGGAGUAACAGUCCAUCUUGACCAAGAUGCUGGGGCGCCUGCAUCGGAAGAUGACUGACGAAUUCCUGCCGAGAGACGAGGAGAACCAACCGGAAGACGACACCAAGAUGUACGUGAAGAUCCGCGACACAACAAGUAUAAUGAAUUAAUUGAAUUGACUGCGAGGAAAAGUGCAAAUUACAUAAAAAAUAAACUAAAUUAAAAAUAAACAACUAUCUAUUUUUUAACUGCAACAUAACCUAAAAACCUGAA